UACGUAGGAUGCAAGCGUUGUCCGGAAUUAUUGGGCGUAAAGAGCGCGCAGGCGGUAUGACAAGUCAGAUGUGAAAGAGGCCGGCUUAACCGGCAAGGGUCAUUUGAAACUGUCAGACUAGAGUGCAGCAGAGGAUAGUGGAAUUCCCGGUGUAGUGGUGAAAUGCGUAGAUAUCGGGAGGAACACCAGUGGCGAAGGCGACUAUCUGGGCUGCAACUGACGCUGAGGCGCGAAAGCGUGGGGAGCAAACAGG
rnacentral:rRNA from 1 species